rfam:Triticum aestivum genome assembly, contig: Triticum_aestivum_CS42_TGACv1_scaffold_249635_3DL
AUUAUUUGGGCACACCGUGUUAUCAUCACAGAGCUCAACCAGGAUAGGUAGUUGAAAACUACCAAGCUGGAGUACGGUAGGGGCGAAGGAAAUUUUUGAUGGAGCGGUGAAAUGCUUUGAGGUCAAAAAGAGAACAAACGGCGAGAGCAUUCUGCUGGGCCAACACUAAUACUGAGAGACGAAAGCUAGGGGGGCAAAUAGGAUUAGAGAGCACAAUAAUACUAGUCAAAAACGAUGGAUACUAGGUGUUGUGCCGCUCGACGCGUGUAGUGUUGCAGCUAUAGUGUUAAGUAUACCGCC